rnacentral:rRNA from 1 species
UACGUAGGUGGCGAGCGUUGUUCGGAUUUAUUGGGCGUAAAGGGUUCGUAGGUGGACUGCUAAGUUUGGUGUGAAAUCCCAGGGCUCAACCCUGGAACUGCAUUGGAAACUGGCGGUCUUGAGUAUCGUAGAGGAGAGCGGAAUUCCCGGAGUAGCGGUGGAAUGCGUAGAUAUUGGGAGGAACACCGGUGGCGAAGGCGGCUUUCCGGACUAGCACUGACGCUGAGGCGCGAAAGCUAGGGGAGCGAACGGG